rnacentral:lncRNA from 1 species
AUGGUGGCAACUCUCUUUAAAAAUGGAAAAUUAUGGAUGGAGAUAUGGCCAGGGCCCCCACUUCCUCCCUCCUCCUUUGGCCACCACCAUAUGCAUUUCCUACCAUGUGUGCUUCCACAAGACAUGCAGACUACUAUAUUUCAUAUUUUAGAAAUGUAUGUGAAUGAAACUGUUCAAUCCAGAGCCUUGUUCCAACUUGCUUUUUUAGGUCUGUCUCAUAAACAGCAUGCCCCAGAAUGUCAAGCUCCAUUUUAA